UAUUAUUAUUGUUCAUUCACUUAGUAAGCACCACUGUGUACAGACUUGUAUUUGAGAACUUGAUGUUUACUAUUGCAUGCAUUUGAGUCAACCUAAAUGUGAAUCAUACGAAUUUAUUACUUUGGCCAUAUGUCUCCAAUGUGUGUGCCUGCAGUUAAACAAACAAAAUUGGCUAGCAUAAAAUAUACAGCUUAAAAUAACCCUGGUGCGUGUCCAGUUUAUUGUGGAAAAAGCUUGGCAUUUUUUUUUUUAAAAAUUUUUUUUAAAAUUCUUUAAAAAGCUUGGAUUUGAUUAAUAUCUAGAGCUGGUAACACAAUUAGAUUUUUCUAGUUUAUUUAACUUUACAGCAUUCUUUAUAUUCUCUGGUUGGAUUACUACAAUGUAUAAUCCUCCGGAUUUGGCAGUUUUAGUUUGCUGAAAAAUAGUUUAUAGGUAAAUAAAAUGAUUUUGUGAAACAUUAAAUAAGUUUUUAUAUGACACUUUUUUUAAAAAAAAUAUGAAAAACAAAUGGUCAUCAUCAGUGAGUUUUAAGGGGAAAUGUCCUCUUGGGGGAAAGGCAAGAAAGAUGAGUGGUUUGUGCACCAGAGUAUAGCUUCCGUAUGUAUUUAUCUGUGGGACUUGUUGUCCUCAACCAUAAUAUGAUCAAUGUGUGGUCAGAAGUAGUGGAAAGCCCUACCUUGUAAUUCUCUGAGCUUCAGUUUUCCCUUGUAGGUUAAAAUGCUGACUCAGGAUUGUUAGCAAGGCUUAAAUGAGAAAUUAUACAAGGAGAUCCAUCUAUUCUGUGUAUUCUCUCUUGUUUGCUCUGCUGUAUGAAGACUGAGGAAGGUGUGGGUGUAAGGGAUAAAGAGAGUUUCUUCUAACCUUAUGGAGUGAGGGAAUGGAGAUAGAUAUGAGAAUUUGGAUUAUAGAUAAUGGCAUUUGUUAGUGAAGUGCUUGUGGAAGGCAACAAGGAGGGAAGAGGUCCGGCUCGCUAGUAACAGACAAGAGAGACUCCACUGUCUUUAAGGAACAUGCAUGUGCAGAAGGUAGGGAGAGAAGGAGUAUUCAGAAUGAAGUAGCUACAGUGGAGCUAAUCUCCAAAGAAAAACUACUCUAUUUUUAAUUUCAUUUAAAGCAGUUGACUAAGACAGUAAAAUAGUAAAUUAAUUCUGUAACAUAACAGCUUUGCAGUUUACAUAGUUUAAAUUUAUAACACAACAAAGUACCAACUAAGUACAUAACAUGAAUGAACCAAACUCUGAAAGUUAAAUCUCUUCCUUCCUAUAGGCCUUAUUCUUUUCUUGCUCAGUGCCACCUCCAGUUAUGCUAUUGAACCAGAUUCAUUUUGCCUGCUACACAGUAUGCCAGUCACUGAAGCAAGCCUUGAGAAAGUUUAUUUUCAAGGCAGCCAAGCAUGGAGACAAGACAAUAAGUCUCAAAUCUCUCUCCCCUAGGAUAAGGUUUGGGAAUAUUUAUGGGAUAAAGAAGCAGAGUGUACCGGAUGCGGUGACUCACACCGAUAAUCCAGUCACUUGGGAGGCUGAGACAGGAGAAUUCUGAGUUCAGAGCCAGCCUCAGCAAUGGCGAGGUCCUAAGCAACUCAGUGAGACCCAAUCUCUAAAUAAAGUACAAAAUAGGGCUGAGGAUGUGGCUCAGUGGUUGAGUGCCCUUGAGUUAAUCCCUGGUACCAAAAAAAAAAAAAAAAAAAGGCAGCAGCAGCAACAACAGAGUAUGAAACAGGGCUGGGGAAAGGUGAUGGGAGAUGAAGUAGUCAGUGGCUCACCCACACAUAAUCCAUCUUCAUAGCUCUUCAUAGGACACAAGUUGAG
rnacentral:lncRNA from 1 species